rnacentral:tRNA from 1 species
GGAUGGAUGUCUGAGUGGUUGAAAGAGUCGGUCCUGAAAACGGAAGUAUUGAUAGGAAUACCGGGGGUUCGAAUCCCUCUCCAUCCG